GGAGGAGGCGCGAGGGGCGGGGAGGAGACAGGGCCGGCGCCGCCUCCCGUCCCCCGCCCGGCCCGGCCGCGCCUUCCUGGGGACCCCCGCCCCCUCAGGUCGCGGCGCCCGGGAGGCAGCUCGGCCGCUCCUGCUCGGGGCCCAGAAGCAGCAGGUGGGACGGCCGUGGGUCUCUGCUCGCUUCUCUUCCCUGCAACAACUUCGCGACGGCAACGACGAACUCCAGCCUCCUUUGUUCCGGACGUUGAUCGGCCGAACCUCCGAGGAACGAACCCGCCCGCGCCGCUGGCCCACGACCCCGCCCUGGGGCGCAGCUCCGCGUCUCCGCGGGUCCGGGUUAAGGCAGAGCCCGGCCCGGCAGAGCCGUCCAGGAGCUGCGCAGAGACCGCGCGAAGAGGCCGCCCGGGACCCCCCACCCGCUGUCGGCUCCCGGGGCUCCAGAGCUUGCGGCGGGCGGGCGGGCGGGCGAGCGGUGCCUUCGCGCCCUGGGAGCCGGAGCCCAAGCCGGCGGCCCAGCGGCCUCGAGAGGAGUUUGCCGCGGGCCUCCGGGCCACACGGGGAGACUCCGGAGACGGGGCCUCCGAGACAGCAGCUGACUGAAUUGCCUGCGAGAGGAUCGCUUGUCUCCCCAGACUUGCUGUCGAGGUUCCCGCCAACGUCGAAGUCCAAGCCUGUGCCUCCCCUGGUUCCUGCCGUCCUACCCCGCUGCAUGCUACAGGCUCGUCCUCUCCUUUCUGUUCUUCCCCUCGCCUUGUUAUGCUUCCCCCUCCUCCUCCUCCUCCUCCUCCGACAGAUAAAAUUUUACUCUAAAUCCCUGUAUUCGUAAGGAUCAGAUCAUCACAGUGCCCAGAACUGAGUCUCCCCCAACACACUCAGGUAAACACUGAUGUCUGUCCUCCUUUGGCAAGUGAGGAGGCAGUGGGGUGAUUUACCGGGGAAUACGUGGCUAGCGAGAGGCGGAAGAAACAAGAGCCUCGUCAGAUUCUCUAAAUGGCUGCUUCAUCUGUUUGUCUUUACUAUUACAUUAUUUUUACUGUGGUUUCAUAAAACCCCAUCUUCUGCCCCAACCCUCAUCCACAGACUUCUUUGGUGGAAGGAAAUUAAAAUUAACACUGCAACUCUCUCAAAAGUUAAAAUUAAAAUAUUUUCAAAUAUCUGUGCUGAAAUUUCCUUCUGAGACUCUUCCAAACACCUCUGGGAAAAGGGCUUUGCAGUCCCAAAGACAGAGCGGUUUGGGGGUGCAGACUUCCUGGCCGAGUGAGGACAGCGUCUGAGUGUCAGUCACCAAACGCUGUGUGAAUUGGGAGUGAGGAGACGCCCGCUCCUGUGGGUCAGAAACAGCGCAUCUGCUAUACUGGCUGUACGAGGCGUUCCUGUGGCAGUCACUACAGACAGGACUUGUUACAUCCCCUACUUGCAG
rnacentral:lncRNA from 1 species